rnacentral:tRNA from 1 species
GCGGGUAUGGUGUAAAGGUAACACAGCAGCUUCCCAAGCUGUUGAUACGAGUUCGAUUCUCGUUACCCGCUCAA